rnacentral:tRNA from 1 species
CUGCCCGUAGCUCAGCUGGAUAGAGCGUUUGACUACGAAUCAAAAGGCCGGAGGUUCGAAUCCUCCCGGGCAGG